rnacentral:lncRNA from 1 species
CAUGAACUCAACCAGUUCCUUCCUGGCCAGUUUCCCAUUCAAAUGAAGGACCAUGUCCUUCCAACCUUGAGAUUCUAGAGAUGCUAGAAGCCUCAUCAUGCCUGGCUACUCCAGGUCUUUCAGCAGCCUGCCCUUCAGAAUUUUUCUUUUGCCAAAAUUGACAUAUCUAUCUUGCUUAUUCUCAGAAUCAUCAUAUCAUCUUCUUCUUCUUCACUCUCUUCUUCUUCUACAACCAUUUUCACUUAUUUUCCUUUAGAGGCAGAUCUUGUUCUUUUUACAAGGGAGGACUAAGCAGGUACAGGCUUUGAG